UGCUCUAAUCUCACACUUGGAGGGUACUUUGUCUUUUGAUCAUUGUGGUGUUUGUGUUGUGUAUUCUUUUCUUCUUCUUUAAUUUUUUUCAGCUCUUCUUAUCUCUUAUCUUAUGCACUUCCAUAAUCCAAAGUAGUAUCUGUCUUUCUAGCUAACAAUUGAAAACAUUCCAAAACCAACCUCUCAUCAGAUUUGAGAUUAAAAUCAAUGGUUAUUGGAGUUAGAUUGGAGAUGGUUUGAAGAGGGGAAAGUAGGAGGAGGUGAGCAUUUACAAGCUUUGAUAGUUGGUGAAACAGGACCUACAGUUCAAGAACCCUCUCACAUCAAGGUCCCCCACAGCCAUUAAUUGAAGCUCAAAAACAACUGAAGCACAAGAUGGAUUUGGAGUUUAUCUCUGAAGUUCUAUAUAUCUAGGAUGUACAUACAGUAGCAACUUGGCAUCUAAGAUUCACAUGAAUGGAAUUUAUGGAAAGAAAAAAGCUAAGGACAAAAGCAAAUUAAAUUAUCCCAUACCUUUAGAACUUUUCAAACUCUGUGUGUUGGAAUUUAUGCAAAGAGUGAUGAAAAUAUGAGGUGGAGAUGCUCCAAUAUGAUACUAUGAUACAAUAAUGGAUAAGGAAAAUGGGCAUCACUAAUUCAUCAGAGACAUAGUACUUAUUAUUAUUGGAGGAUCAGUUCAUAAUCUGAGUCUUUGGAUUGACAAAAAUCUUUUCAAUAAUGCAGUAGACAAUAAUUCAUUCAAUCUUUAGUGUUACAUAUGUGAGAUUGCUAGAGUUAAUACCCAGAAUAUCAUCAGCUCAUCAAGGAUUAGUAGCUCACCUACACAUAAAAUGUGAGCACCUAAUCUAUCUUAAAUUUUGGGAUUGACAAAUUUUCAAGAUUUGGUGCAGAAUAUGUAGAAAGGAUUCAAAACUCAAAAGAUAUACCCUGAAGAAAGGUGGAUUUGAAUGUAAUUAAAACUAGGAUAACUGUUUGAUUAAGUUUGCAGUUUCAUGAAUGGAAAAACAGUGAUCUAAUGAUUAGUGAUAUAGUUAUCUUGGUUAUUGAGUUGUUUUUGCUGAAUUGUACGAUUUUGAAACUGAGAAAGCAUUGAUUUGGAAUGUGAAAAUAUCAUUCUGUAAUUGCCAUGAUGCAAGGAGGAUUUAUUUUGUACUUGUCCCAAUAAUGCUCUCUAUGGCUACUGAUCAAGGUUGAUUUUAGCAUAAAAGAAAUAUUUUAUGUACUCAUAUUUGUCUUGUAGAGCCAUUGCAUGGGAUUAACACAACAUUAUACGGAAACUAUUUGAAUAUAAGAAAUUAGGAAUAGUGAUGGAAGUUAUCAUUUUUUGUGCUCAAGAGGAGGUGGAGUUACAUGAUAAUAAUCACAUGAGCUAAUACUUAGAUUAGUAUUUAUUUAUUUUAAAUCCCCCGCUAGACAAUUAUAUGUAGCUUAACUGAUACACUGAUUAUAAUUUAUAAUCAUGAAUUUGUUUUUAUGGCUU